rnacentral:piRNA from 1 species
UCUCACAAUGGUCCUACUGAAUU